rnacentral:lncRNA from 1 species
UGAGGCUAAUGAAGAGACCAUGAGGACCAUGCAUGGAAGUGAAAAUGCUAUCGACAUUGAUACAAGCGUUCCUCCUUAUGAUAGAGGGUUGAUUGAUAGCUCAAAUGAAAAAAGGGGCAGCCUGGUGCACGAAUGUAUGCAGCCUACCUUGAUGCAAUUAUUAAAGACAGAAUCCAUGGCUCAAACCCAUAAGCUAUACAGUCUACCUUGAUGCAAUUAUUAAAGACAGAAUCCAUGGCUCAAACCCGUAAGCGACAAGUCACAUGGGAACAACAUUUCCACUGCUCCAACGUUUUAUUUCAUUGAUAGACCAAAUAUGAUGGGAAACUGUUCUCAUCUAUAUUAUGUUGUCUUC